UACGAUUUAUAAAUAGAACCCGAGAGCUCUGUCUAACAAACAGACUUUGGCCUCCAUUUGUUUUCCAGGCUGAAGAUGGCAUCUCUCUCUCACAGUGAUUUUGUUUCACUGGCUGAGGAGAAAUUUGACUU